UGAGGAAUAUUGGACAAUGGGCGCAAGCCUGAUCCAGCCAUGCUGCGUGCAGGAUGACGGUCCUAUGGAUUGUAAACUGCUUUUGUACAGGAAGAAACAGUUCUACGUGUAGAACCUUGACGGUACUGUAAGAAUAAGGAUCGGCUAACUCCGUGCCAGCAGCCGCGGUAAUACGGAGGAUCCAAGCGUUAUCCGGAAUCAUUGGGUUUAAAGGGUCCGUAGGCGGUUAGAUAAGUCAGUGGUGAAAGCCCAUCGCUCAACGGUGGAACGGCCAUUGAUACUGUCUGACUUGAAUUAUUAGGAAGUAACUAGAAUAUGUAGUGUAGCGGUGAAAUGCUUAGAGAUUACAUGGAAUACCAAUUGCGAAGGCAGGUUACUACUAAUGGAUUGACGCUGAUGGACGAAAGCGUGGGUAGCGAACAGGAUUAGAUACCCACGUAGUCCCUGAGCGGGCUGGCAAGGCGCAU
rnacentral:rRNA from 1 species